rnacentral:rRNA from 1 species
AUGAAAGUAGACUGCUUGGAGUUGGUGACACUUUGGAACUCUCGCCACAAUUCACGAUCUAUUGUGGCCUAUUUAUUAGAUGAGAUAGGAGAGCUCAGUACUUACUUUACAUCAUUUGAUGUUCGCCAUGUAAGUAGAUCAGCUAAUCUUCCUGUGCAUCUAUGUGCGAAGCGUGCUUGUGCACUUGAUGUAACAGAUAGCUGGAUAGAUGAAACUCCAAGCUUUCUGAUGACCAGCCUAUUGGCUGACUCAUCCAUGAAUGCUUUUCGAUGA